rnacentral:rRNA from 1 species
CCUACGGGAGGCAGCAGUGGGGGAUAUUGCACAAUGGGGGGAACCCUGAUGCAGCGACGCCGCGUGGGUGAAGGAGUGCUUCGGCAUGUAAAGCCCUAUCGGCAGGGAAGAAGCAAGACGGUACCUGACUAAGAAGCCCCGGCUAACUACGUGCCAGCAGCCGCGGUAAUACGUAGGGGGCGAGCGUUAUCCGGAUUCACUGGGUGUAAAGGGAGCGUAGACGGCCAAGCAAGCCAGGGGUGAAAGCCCGGGGCCCAACCCCGGGACUGCCCUUGGAACUGCAUGGCUGGAGUGCGGGAGGGGCAGGCGGAAUUCCUGGUGUAGCGGUGAAAUGCGUAGAUAUCAGGAGGAACACCGGCGGCGAAGGCGGCCUGCUGGACCGCGACUGACGUUGAGGCCCGAAGGCGUGGGGAGCAAACAGGAUUAGAUACCCCUGUAGUC